rnacentral:rRNA from 1 species
UACGGAAGGUCCGGGCGUUAUCCGGAUUUAUUGGGUUUAAAGGGAGCGUAGGCCGGAGAUUAAGCGUGUUGUGAAAUGUAGACGCUCAACGUCUGCACUGCAGCGCGAACUGGUUUCCUUGAGUACGCACAAAGUGGGCGGAAUUCGUGGUGUAGCGGUGAAAUGCUUAGAUAUCACGAAGAACUCCGAUUGCGAAGGCAGCUCACUGGAGCGCAACUGACGCUGAAGCUCGAAAGUGCGGGUAUCGAACAGGAUUAGAAACCCCGGUAGUCAGUCCGGCUGACUGACU